rnacentral:rRNA from 1 species
GACGAACGCUGGCGGCGUGCUUAACACAUGCAAGUCGAACGAGUGGCGAACGGGGGAGUAAAACGUGGGUGACCUGCCCUGCACUUCGGGAUAAGAAUGGGAAACUGGGUCUAAUAACGGAUAGUGUGGGAUGGGCCCGCGGCGUAUCAGCUUGUUGGUGGGGUAAGGGCUACCAAGGCGCGACGGGUAGCUGGUCUGAGCGGAUGAUCAGCCACACUGGGACUGAGACCCGGCCCCGACUCCUACGGUAGGCAGCAGUGGGGAAUAUUGCACAAUGGGCGCAAGCCUGAUGCAGCCAUGCCGCGUGUAUGAAGAAGGCCUUAGGGUUGUAAAGUACUUUCAGCGGGGAGGCGUUACCCGCAGAAGAAGCACCGGCUAACUCCGUGCCAGCAGCCGCGGUAAUAC